GGAAAGAGGAACAAAACCAAACCCAGCAAACCUGCUUGUAAGUGAUAAGACAAGGAGGGGGAGAGCAGCAGAGAUGGUGCUGAAGGGUUUAUACUGACUUCCUGGACAUUCAAAGUGCAGUAUCAUUUCUGUGGCUGCUCCUGCCUCGCUGGAAAAUGCAAAGAACCUUUAUGCCUUGUGCUUCCCUAGGAGAUGCUCCAGGCCAUUGGGAGGUCUCCCUGCAAGUGCUGGUCAUGAAGGAGCAUGACUGUCUGCUGGAACUGUGGACAAGGAGAGAUGGAGUUUAUUCUUGGCUCCAUCGCAGGUAGUUCUGCAACCGAGGGUGGGUGCAGAGACAGACCUGCACUCAGGGACUGCAGCUGGCACUGUGCUACAAGCAAGUCUGUGAAAGUAUUUGGCUGCCUUAAAAUCACAAAUUAAUUUAGACUUUGUUUGCAUCUACUUUCCAUUAUGAUUUCUGUGGCAAUUCAAGAGUAUGCUUCCUGGGACUCCAGCCCUGGUGUUUAGAUGCAAGGGAACUUGACUGCUGGAGAAAGUAUGUCCUUAUGAAAUAGCCAGGACUGUUUCACAGCUCAAGCUCACAGCCUACUCUCCUGCCCUCUGCCACUGUGAUCAACAGUGAGGAGGGGUGACGGUGAUCUUGCUCAUCUUGUGGCGAGGCUCAGCAAGCUGAAGUUUAAUAAAUAAGUCAAUUGUGAG
rnacentral:lncRNA from 1 species